AGGAGGAACCACCACAGUGGCGGUGGCCAGCUGUGGAUCCCUGGAGUCAGCUCCCACAGUAGCUACAGAGCUCUCAGUCUGCAGGGCCUGGAUGCUCCGCGGCAGG
rnacentral:pre_miRNA from 1 species